rnacentral:lncRNA from 1 species
UAUUACUUUUUAAAAAAUACAGGUUUGUAAUGUUACUUAGUAACAAGAUACCAUUUUACUUUGUUGUUGUACAAUAGCCUGAAAAUAGGUACAGGCUAGUGAAGCGACUCCAUCUCAUAAAGAAAUAUAGGCAUUCACUGGUCCUGGCUGUCUGUGAGCUGCUGCCAGUCCACCCUUCAGCCUGUGGGGAGGGAAGGGGAGGGGACAGAGUGGAAGCACAGGGCUUUUCACACCCAGGUGAGCAGGAAACUAGUCUGUCAGACCAGUUCUCACUAGUCACUUUGGUGAGAACUUUCAUGCUCACUUAGCUGUAUGGGAGACUGUGGGGGGGCUCCCCUGCUGCCUAUGGCAUUCCUGGGCCAGAGAUCAGAAUCUGAGCCACUGUCUUGACCUAAGCUGCAGCUGUGGCAGUGCCAGAUCCUUAACCUAGUGUGCUGGGCCAGGGAUUGAACCUGUAUCCCAAGAGGCCACCAGUCUUGUUGCUCCACAGUGGGAGCUCUUAGGAUGGUUUUUAUAGAACUAGAAUUACUGGUCCAAACAAUAUGAACAUUUGGAUAGAAUUUUUAUUUCUGCGCUACUUCUCUAAAGCAACCAUUAUAGUACUCAGGAGACUGAGCAAAGGCUGACUGUGUAAAACUUGGAAAAAUAUAAUACUGUUGAACCUGAAGAAGGAAAAAUGGGAAUCCAUGCCAUUCUUGUUGGGAGCUAUUCACACCGCCCCCCACUGUGUCCUAGCUUGGUUGGCAUGAGGUUCUGCCAGCCACAAGCAGACCAUAGAGGCCACAGCUUAAAGAGGGCUCAGCUCUUUGGAGUGGUGGGUGAUGCCCAGCGCCAUUUUCUGUGGAUGUGAAUUUUCAGAGUGCAUGGGAGGGCGUGUGGCUCAGCUCAGUGGGAUUGCAGCACUGUCUGGGGCAAGUGUGUUCCUGGAUGAGGCCAAGUAUAAGUACAGGAAAGACCUGAGAAGGCCCAAGGUAUUCUCAUGCUUUUGACUGACCCCGAAGUUGCAUGUGUGCACCUAGGAGACAUGAAAGGGCCCUUUGGAAAGAUAACCCUGGGGCACACCGAACUUCAGAUGAGCUCCCCAACCCAUACACAUACCCAUCAACAGAGGUGGGAGCCUCACUGGCCAGAGGCUUAAAGAUAAGAAUAGGGAGUUCCCGUCAGUGGUUUGGUGGAAGUGAAUCUGACUAGUGUCCAUGAGGAUGCAGGUUUGAUCCCUGGCCUCGCUCAGUGUGUUAAGGAUCUGACAUUGCCAAGAGUUGUGGUGUAGGUCACAGAUGCGGCUUGGAUCCCAUGUUGCUAUGGCUGCAGCUCCAAUUUGA